rnacentral:lncRNA from 1 species
AAGUUUUGUCUUUUGCUUAUGUCUAAGUAGGGAGCAUUAUUGAAUAAAUUUGGUUGUGGAAUCUAAAGUUGGGGAGAGUAAAGAAAAAAGAGUUGAUCAGAAAAUUGGGAAAGUGAGUUUUUAUGAAAGGGAGAAAUGAGUAAAGAAAAAAGAGUUGAUCAGAAAAUUGGGAAAGUGAGUUUUUAUGAAAGGGAGAAAGUAUGGAAAGAAACAAGAAAAAGAAAUCACCCUUGAAACCAUAGAGCAAAGAAAAUGAAAAAAAAAGAAAAAAAAAGCAAAGAAAAUGCUCAUGGUUGUGUGGUUGUGAAAAGAAAAAGAAAAAGAUAGGGAUCAAAGAAAUGGAGAUUGUAUAGAGUUGAAUGUUUGGGAAGGCUCCCUUAAGAUAGG